rnacentral:pre_miRNA from 13 species
UGCCGUCCCGGGCAGGAUAUCAUCGUAUACUGUAAGUUGGCUAUGAGACACUACAGUAUAGAUGAUGUACUCCCCGGGCUGCAC